GAUGAAGAACGCAGCGAAAUGCGAUACGUAAUGUGAAUUGCAGAAUUCAGUGAAUCAUCGAAUCUUUGAACGCAUAUUGCGCUCUCUGGUAUUCCGGAGAGCAUGCUUGUUUGAGUAUCAGUAAACACCUCAACUUCCAUAUCUUUUUUGAAAUGGGAGUUGGACUUGAGUGAUCCCAACGCUUUUCCUCACCGAAAAGUGGCGGGUUACUUGAAAUGCAGGUGCAGCUGGACUUUUCUCUGAGCUAUAAGCAUAUCUAUUUAGUCUGCCUAAAAAACAGAUUAUUACCUUUGCUGCAGCUAACAUAAAGGAGAUUAGUUCUUGUGCUGACUGAUGCAGGAUUCACAAAGACAGGCUUCGGCCGACUUUGUAAACUCGAUCUCAAAUCAAGUAAGACUACCCGCUGAACUUAAGCAUAUCAAUAAGCCGAGGA
rnacentral:misc_RNA from 1 species